rnacentral:rRNA from 1 species
AUUGAACGCUGGCGGCAGGCUUAACACAUGCAAGUCGAGCGAGCGGCGGACGGGUGAGUAAUGUCUGGGAAACUGCCUGAUGGAGGGGGAUAACUACUGGAAACGGUAGCUAAUACCGCAUACCAUCAGAUGUGCCCAGAUGGGAUUAGCUAGUAGGUGGGGUAAUGGCUCACCUAGGCGACGAUCCCUAGCUGGUCUGAGAGGAUGAUCAGCCACACUGGAACUGAGAAACGGUCCAGAAUCCUACGGGAGGCAGCAGUGGGGAAUAUUGCACAAUGGGCGCAAGCCUGAUGCAGCCAUGCCGCGUGUGUGAAGAAGGCCUUAGGGUUGUAAAGCACUUUCAGCGGGGAGGCGUUACUCGCAGAAGAAGCACCGGCUAACUCCGUGCCAGCAGCCGCGGUAAUAC